rnacentral:rRNA from 1 species
CCCCAGUAAACGGCGGCCGUAACUAUAACGGUCCUAAGGUAGCGAAAUUCCUUGUCGGGUAAGUUCCGACCUGCACGAAUGGCGUAAUGAUGGCCAGGCUGUCUCCACCCGAGACUCAGUGAAAUUGAACUCGCUGUGAAGAUGCAGUGUACCCGCGGCAAGACGGAAAGACCCCGUGAACCUUUACUAUAGCUUGACACUGAACAUUGAGCCUUGAUGUGUAGGAUAGGUGGGAGGCUUUGAAGUGUGGACGCCAGUCUGCAUGGAGCCAACCUUGAAAUACCACCCUUUAACGUUUGAUGUUCUAACCUAGGCCCAUAAACUGGGUCGGGGACCGUGUCUGGUGGGUAGUUUGACUGGGGCGGUCUCCUCCUAAAGAGUAACGGAGGAGCACGAAGGUUGGCUAAGCAUGGUCGGACAUCAUGCGGUUAGUGCAAAGGCAUAAGCCAGCUUGACUGCGAGAGUGACGGCUCGAGCAGGUACGAAAGUAGGUCUUAGUGAUCCGGUGGUUCUGAAUGGAAGGGCCAUCGCUCAACGGAUAAAAGGUACUCCGGGGAUAACAGGCUGAUACCGCCCAAGAGUUCAUAUCGACGGCGGUGUUUGGCACCUCGAUGUCGGCUCAUCACAUCCUGGGGCUGAAGUAGGUCCCAAGGGUAUGGCUGUUCGCCAUUUAAAGUGGUACGCGAGCUGGGUUUAGAACGUCGUGAGACAGUUCGGUCCCUAUCUGCCGUGGGCGUUGGAAGAUUGAGAGGGGUUGCUCCUAGUACGAGAGGACCGGAGUGAACGCACCACUGGUGUUCGGGUUGUCAUGCCAAUGGCAUUGCCCGGUAGCUAAGUGCGGAAGAGAUAACCGCUGAAAGCAUCUAAGCGGGAAACUUGCCUCGAGAUGAGUCUUCCCUGUCGCUUUAAGCGACCUAAAGGAACGUUUAAG